rnacentral:rRNA from 1 species
AGCGAACGCUGGCGGCAGGCCUAACACAUGCAAGUCGAACGAAGUCUUCGGACUUAGUGGCGGACGGGUGAGUAACACGUGGGAACGUGCCUUUAGGUUCGGAAUAACUCAGGGAAACUUGUGCUAAUACCGAAUGUGCCCUUCGGGGGAAAGAUUUAUCGCCUUUAGAGCGGCCCGCGUCUGAUUAGCUAGUUGGUGAGGUAAAGGCUCACAAAGGCUACGAUCAGUAGCUGGUUUGAGAGGAUGAACAGCCACAUUGGGACUGAUACACGGCCCAAACUCCUACGGGAGGCGGCAGUGGGGAAUCUUGCGCAAUGAGCGAAAGCCUGACGCAGCCAUGCCGCGUGGAUAAUGAAGGUCUUAGGAUUGUAAAAUCCUUUCACCUGUGAAGAUAAUGACUGUAGCCGGAGAAGAAGCCCCGGCUAACUUCGUGCCAGCCGCCGCCGUAACAC